AUCCAGAUGACGUAUCCCAAAUAGGAUGAAAUGUGUAUCCUGAAU
rfam:Schistosoma rodhaini strain Burundi genome assembly, scaffold: SROB_scaffold0003347